GAGAAAGUGGAGUGGAAAGGCCUAGUGAUACAAAAUGAAUUUGCUCUGCAGUAGAGCUAUGUCUAGGUGCUGUCUUGGAGAUUGAGUCCUACAGAAUUAUUCUGAAGACUUCUCACAGCCCAUCCUUCAGCUAAGCUGGGCUUGGAGAUCUAGACUCAGUUGAAUGAAAAGGAUGAUUGAUCUCAAAUGUGUCGUGACAACUUGACCUUUUCAUGCCACAGUUAGUGACCCGCCUAAAGAGCAACUAUGGAUUAUACUGCACUAUGGCAAUGUUUUUGCUAGCUUGACCUUUCAGUUGGUACAGUGCCUCAUACACACAGGAUUAUAAUGGAGCCAAUAGAAUCAACAGGAAUCUCAAUCUGGGAAAGGAAUGGACCAUGGAUGGGGUGUAUCCAGGGUUCUGGGUACACCUUCAGGUCAAAGGCCUUCCUGAUGGGAAUGUCCAGGAGAAGAUAUGAGGAGAACACUUACCCAGAAUAACCGAGUGUGGUGCAUGACGUUGUCCUCCGUUGUGGAACAUACAGGCUGCUGUCCUAGGUGAUGCGAAAAUCAGAGGAAGGUUUUAGAAUAUGAUUUGUCUUAGAAUAUGACAUACACAAACAUAAUGUUUGUGACACCGUCUCCAGUUACUGUGAGGAUUAGCUUGAAAAUUUUACUCCUCCUGAAAACCUCUGCAGUAUUGUUUGUUAAGCAAAACCUUGUCAAUUUUCCAAAUGUUCUUUCCAUAUCCACCCGGCUUGUAAUAGUGUAUUUGAUAAUGCAUACUGUAAGGUUUGUCCAGCUUACUGGAAUCUUUUCAGUGAGUUUAAAAAAGUAAAAUCAAAUUUUUAUAAACUUCCCUGCAUAGAGAAAA